AUUGAACGCUGGCGGCAUGCCUAACACAUGCAAGUCGAACGAGUGGCGGACUGGUGAGUAAUGUCUGGGAAACUGCCCGAUGGAGGGGUAUAACUACUGGAAACGGUAGCUAAUACCGCAUACCAUCGGAUGUGCCCCGAUGGGAUUAGCUAGUAGGUGGGGUAAAGGCUCACCUAGUCGACGAUCCCUAGCUGGUCUGAGAGGAUGACCAGCAACACGGGAACUGAGACACGGUCCAGACUCCUACGGGAGGCAGCAGUGGGGAAUAUUGCACAAUGGGCGCAAGCCUGAUGCAGCCAUGCCGCGUGUAUGAAGAAGGCCGUAGGGUUGUAAAGUACUUUCAGCGGGGAGGCGUUACCCGCAGAAGAAGCACCGGCUAACGCCGUGCCAGCAGCCGCGGUAAUAC
rnacentral:rRNA from 1 species